CCUCCCACCAGGACCCGACACGCCGCCCUUUGUGACCACCGCGACCCUGGCCCCCUGCCUUCUCCGGAGAAGAGGCGAUGUCUGGCAGGCAUGUACUGCUGCUGCGCUGGUUCCUACACUGAAGAUGGUGUGACACAGCCCGCCUGUGAAAAGAUCAGAGCUCCGGGGACUUGGAACAUCGUGGCCAUCUGAGUAGAAGGCGGUUGCUUGUUCUCUGUGGUUUCAUGCUUUCCCUUGAGGGCAGAAGCCAUGUCCUGAGAACAGCAGAUGGCGAUUAAUAUUCAAGGUAUCAGCCUACGAAAAGGAGACAGUCUGAUGGGGAAAACCGCAUGAAGCAAGGCUACGGGGCUACAGACUCCGGAAGAUCUUUUACUUCUGCCUGUAACUUCACAUGUGCUUCUGAAAUUUCCCCUGUAUGUUUAUCUCUCUGUGUGUUUAUCUCAUGAACACAUUCUGUUCUACUGGGCAUUUUAUCUGUGGAUUGCCAGAAGAUGACUCUUCCUUAAGCUGUAUUGUCAAACUGAUACAAAUAAUGUUAACUUACACAGAGUUUGAUGAAUAAAAAUGGACACAAAGA